GACGAACGCUGGCGGCGUGCUUAACACAUGCAAGUCGAACGGAGUGGCGAACGGGUGAGUAACACGUGGGUGACCUGCCCUGCACUUCGGGAUAAGCCUGGGAAACUGGGUCUAAUACCGGAUAGUGUGGGAUGGGCCCGCGGCCUAUCCGCGUGUUGGGGGGGUAAUGGCCUACCAAGGCGGAGACGGGUAGCCGGCCUGAGCGGGGGGACGGCCACCUUGGGCCUGCGACACGGGCCAGACUCCUACGGGAGGCAGCAGUGGGGAAUAUUGCACAAUGGGCGGAAGUCUGAUGAAGCGACGCCGCGUGGGGGAGGACGGCCUUCGGGUUGUAAACUCCUUUCACCAUCGACGCGGUAGAGGGAGAAGAAGCACCGGCUAACUACGUGCCAGCCGCCGCGGUAAUUC
rnacentral:rRNA from 1 species